CCCUUCUAAGGGUCACACCUGGAGAGUUUUCAGUACUCUAUAAGUCUUGACUAUAGGAGGGAGAGUCAAGCAGAGGCAUAUUCAUUCCAUUCCUAGUUUGGAGAGUGGCUAGAGAGUGGAAGACAAUUUGCUACAAGU